rnacentral:rRNA from 1 species
GGUGACGACCCUUCGGGAGCUUGCACAGGUGCUGCAUGGCUGUCGUCAGCUCGUGUCGUGAGAUGUUCGGUUAAGUCCGCUAACGAGCGCAACCCUCGCUGUGUGUUAUAUGUGUCACACGGGACUGCCGGUCUUAAGCCGGAGGAAGGUGGGGAUGAUGUCAAGUCAGCAUGGCCUUUAUAUCCUGGGCUACACACACGCUACAAUGGCCAACACAAUAGGUUGCUAAGCCGCGAGGUGGCGCCAAUCCAUAAAGUUGGUCUCAGUUCAGAUUGUAGGCUGCAACCCGCCUGCAUGAAGAUGGAGUUGCUAGUAACCGCAGGUCAGCUAUACUGCGGUGAAUACGUUCCCGGGGCUU